AUUUAUCAAAUGUUGCAAAAAGUACUUUUUAAAUGAAUUGGCCAAAUACAAACUAUUUUUUUUUCCAAAAGUACUUUUGAAAAAAGCACUUCUUAAAAAAGUACUUUUUUAAAAAAAGCAAUUUUUGGCAGCUUGCCAAACGGGCUCUUAAUCUCCAUUGCAACCAAGUUGGUAACUUCUUUUGUUCACCUUUUUAAUACUAUAUAAUAGUCAGGAAUCUUAUCCUUGACAUUUAAGGUAUCCAGAAUCUUUAGAGCAUGUCCACAUAGUACACUUGAAAAUUCGAAUAAUUUGCAACUGCAAGAGACACCUUUAAUUUGUUGAGCACUUCACUACCACUAUAUGCUCCCUGCGACUUCCAUGCGUGCUAACAUUAUAUUUAAAAAAUUCUCCUUCAUUAUGAAAGGCAUUUAUAGAGACAAGUAAUGACUUUUCCUACUGCUUUUCAAACAAAUCAAAUGUGGUUGCAGUAUAUAUUUCUCUCGCUUGAAUUAAUAACGGAAGCUUAACCUUCAAGACAAAUAUUCGUUAGGUCAUGUCAAAAUUUGACUUACUUUCAUUAGCACGCUUAUCAUCAACAGCUCUUUGAAAAUGCUUAAAGAACAGUACAAUAUCUAAAUCAAUUGAAACUUUCACUCAAUUGUGUAUUUCGCAUACCGGCUGAAAAUACAUUUGUACCAUAUGUCAUGGACCAAUUUUCCCUUAUAGCCAAGGUCUUCUUCAACCGACUAUUAUCCUUAAGGUCGUGCUUCUCAAGCAUUUCCUUCCAUGCAUUUAGAAAAUCAUCUUCAUACUCGUAAUAAUAAAGCAAUUUGCUAAUGAUUUCUGAGCUCUAAAGAUAUGGUUAAGAUGUUUAAAUGCAUUUUGUUCCAAGUGCCAUAUACAUGUACGAUGAUAUGUUUGUGGCAUCACUAUUGAGACUGCUAAACAUAUUGCGGGAUCCUGAUCAAGUAUUUCAAGAAAAAUGAAGUUCCCACGACUUGCUGUCUUGUUCUCUGUUUCUCCUCUUGGUGUAUUUUUUUUUUCUGUUGAUUUUUAACCUAACAAUGAUCUUCAAGGAUUGGAUUUUCAUGGUAAAAGUCUGAAAGAUUUUCUCUGGUACCAUGAUUUUCGGUGAGAGCAGAUAUAUUUUGGCGCGAAGAGAGGAAUUAUAGGAAGUUCUACCGCUAGGAGAGGCAAAAGAUAUUAUUUGGGAAUGAAUAAAAGAAGGAAUUAAAUACUUUAAUUAUGGUUAAGGUUUUGCUUUAUUCAAUUAAAUCCUAUCCAUUGAUUUUUAACCAUGAUAAGUGUCUCCCAUCCAAGUAGGAACUUAGAGAAAUGAAGAGAUUAGUAAAUGGAGGGGAGUUGGAUCGAGGAUAUUAAAUAUGCCAUAACAUUUGUGUGGCUAUAAAAAUAUGUCAUUAAGGUUAAGAUUAGAAUUUUAAGUUAAAGUAUUUUCAGAUUUACAAAAGGAUCAUUGUUGUGAAACAAAAUUUAAAAAAAUAAGGUUAUAUUAUAUAAACUGAAACAGAUGAAGUAAUAAGUCGAUAGAGAAAUUCAAAGAAUUUAGGACGGAUUACAAUUAAAGAAUUCGAUGUUUUUUCCUCCCUUCAAAAUCGAGCAUCAUAUACGUACUUCAUUGGACGUAGUUUUUGGCAGUUAAAAUCGUUUCAGGUUAUGCUGGGAAGAAGUCAUGAAUGUAUUCUAUUUUCAUGGUGAGACAUUCAAAACUCCUGAAAAAUCUCACCAUUGAAUAAUUCAAGAACCAGAGUGAAGCUUUGUCCUUGUCUUAAGGACUAGUCUACCACUAAUUCUCCUUUCUGCACCAACUAUAUAAUGCCCAAUCAAAAUGGUCUCAAUUCAUCAAAAGAUCAAAAUUUAUCAAAGAAUAUAUAUAAUCUUCCUAAAAGAACAACUCAUUUUCCGAUCUCUCUUUCUUCCACAAGCUAAGCUAGGAGGAAAGAGGGCAAAUAAAUCCAAAUUUUAGGUUACUAUUUGAUUUAUAUCCGCUCUAGUUUUGGCUUUGACAAACAAUUUCAGACAAAGAUGGCAAAGGAAACUAGAAAUAUACAUUCUUGGGUAGAGGUUGCUCCAGCCCUCAUAACAUAUCGACGAAAACCUUCACAUAAAUCUGGAUUAGAGACCAUCAGAGAAGAGAUCAACGAGGGGUUUGACGAUGACACAUAAUGUAUCUGCUACGUAAAAAUAUGUGUAUAUUGUCAAGUGUAGUCAGAGGCGGAUCAACCGAUCAAGACUUUGAAGUUUAUGGGUUCCUAUAACGAUCUCAAGUUAGUAACUGAGUUCACAAUCAAAUAUUUAUAGAUAUUUAAUGAACUUUUUAAUACAUAUACAAGGACUGUGAAAAAGUUAAUGGGUUCCCGGGAACCCACACAUUAUCCUGUAGAUCCGCCACUCAAUGUAGUGAAGCUAAGCUCUUUUUACAGAAUGUGAUUAUAGCUCUUAAUUAGGGUUUAUGAUUUAGAGUUUAAUCGAUGUGACAUUGAAGUUUUUGGCCCCAGCUGAAGAAUCAGAGAAUAUUUUAGGUGUCGAUUGCCAGCUAGAGGGAUUGCUGGAUUGUUUUUGACAUGCAAUUAUAAUCCAUGCGAUGUACAUUUUAAUUUUUAUUAGCUUUUCGUUGUUUAAUUCAUAUGUGCAGUGAACUAAUAACAAUGCUUUAGAUUAUUAAUAGAGUUUGAUGGUGUUAUUUAGAACUUAGAAUCAUUGCUAUCAAAUAAUGCGAUGAGGAUAACAUCUUGAAGUUUUUGCCACUUAAUAUUAGAAACCAUACAACUGGUGCGUUUUGUAUAGUUGAAAAUGUUUUACUUAUAAAACAUGUUGUUGUUUAAUUACAUGAAUAAUUGAAAAUUAUUUCUCCAAGGGAAUUACUUUUAUUUCUGUAAAAGGAAGGAAUAAUUUCCUUCAUCGGUGAAGGUUAAUUACUUUACAAACUUAAACUUAAAUGUCAUUGCUAUUGUUGACUAGUAGCCAAGUUACACAUUUGACCUGUCGGCAAAAAAUAAUUAUAUUUGCUAGCCAAAUAUACAAAUAAUAUACAUUGAUUUUUUAUAAUAUAUGUAUGUUUUUAUAUGCAUAUCAUACAUUAAUAUAUAAAAAAUAUACAUUCUACAUAGUUUUUCCUACAAUAUAACCAUCACAAAUGACCUUAUAAAUGCAACAACCAUAAUUAUUGUUAACGUCAUAUAAAUUCGACAAAGAAAGUUCCAAAUCCACUCGUAAUUUUGAAUCAUGAAACAGAAGACAACUACUUAAAAUAAUUGCCAAAGCGGGUUCACGACACCAUUUCCACACUCAAAAUGAGGUUUCAUUAGAGAAAUACAAUAGAUAACCGUCCAAUUAAUAGAGUCCACAAAAGCAGCAUUACCCCUUUUACAAUGAUCCUUACUUGCUCUACACAUGGCAAGCCUAUAACCAUUUAAAAUGGCAAUACUGCCCUUUUUGUUCUUUUUCAAGUGGGGUAGACAAUGUCAUGAUUUUGCCCAAAUUAAACAGAUAGGAGUAUAUUAAUCCUUA
rnacentral:lncRNA from 1 species